CCCUGCCAUUUGUACACACCGCCCGUCGCUCCUACCGAUUGAAUGGUCCGGUGAAGUGUUCGGAUCGCGGCGACGGGGGCGGUUCGCCGCCCCCGACGUCGCGAGAAGUCCAUUGAACCUUAUCAUUUAGAGGA
rnacentral:rRNA from 1 species